rnacentral:rRNA from 1 species
GACGAACCGUGCGAACGUUAUUCGGAUUCACUGGGCUUAAAGGGCGCGUAGGCGGUGGACCCAGUCCGGGGUGAAAUCUUUCGGCUUAACCGGAAAAGUGCCUCGGAUACUGGUUCACUUGAGGGAGGUAGGGGCAUGUGGAACUUCCGGUGGAGCGGUGAAAUGCGUUGAUAUCAGGAGGAACACCGGUGGCGAAGGCGGAUCUCUGGGCCGUAACUGACGCUGAGGAGCGAAAGCAUGGGGAGCGAACAGG